GCUUUACUGUUAAUUUUAAUUAGACCUACACAUGCAAGUUUCCGCUAUCCUGUGAGAAUGCCCUUAAAACUAAUACAAGAUAGAAAGGAGCUGGUAUCAGGCACACUAAAAGUAGCCCAUUACACCUUGCUCAACCACACCCCUACGGGAUACAGCAGUGACAAACAUUAAGCUAUGAACGAAAGUUUGACUAAAUUAUAAUUAUNAUUAGGGUUGGGAAUUUCNGUGCCAGCCACCGCGGUCAUACGAUUAACCCAAAUUAACAAUUUNCCGGCGUAAAGCGUGUUAAAGUUACGAGAUAAANUAGAGUUAAUACCUAACUAAACUGUAAUACGUUCUAGUUAAUGUUAAAAUAAACAAUUAAAAUGACUCUAAUAAUACUAAAACACAAAANCCAANGAUACAACUNGGGAUUAGAUACCCCACUAUGCUUAGUCUUAAACUAUAAUAAUUUACCAACAAAAUUAUUCGCCAGAGAACUACUAGCUAUUGCUUAAAACUCAAAGGACUUGGCGGUGCCCUAAACCCAUCUAGAGGAGCCUGUUCUAUAACCGAUACACCCCGAUAAACCCAACCCUAUCUUGCCAGUACAGUCUAUAUACCGCCAUCGUCAGCUAACCUUAAAAAAGCACAAUAGUUAGCAAGAUUAUUAACCAUAAAAACGUUAGGCUAAGGUGUAGCAUAUGAUAAGGAAAGAAAUGGGCUACAUUCUCUACAAUNAGAGCAUUACGAAUCACAUUAUGAAAUUAAAGUGUUAGAAGGAGGAUUUAGUAGUAAAUUAAGAAUAGAGUGCUUAAUUGAAAUAGGCAAUAGGGCG
rnacentral:ncRNA from 1 species